rnacentral:rRNA from 1 species
UUAGGAAUAUUCGUCAAUGGGGGAAACCCUGAACGAGCAAUGCCGCGUGAGUGAUGAAGGUCUUAUAGAUUGUAAAACUCUGUUGUAGAGAGAGAAUACUUAUUAUAGGAAAUGAUAAUAAGCUGACGGUACUCUACCAGAAAGCCCCGGCUAACUACGUGCCAGCAGCCGCGGUAAUACGUAGGGGGCGAGCGUUAUCCGGAUUUAUUGGGCGUAAAGCGUGUGUAGGCGGUUUAUUAAGUUUAAGAUUAAAUUCCGAGGCUUAACCUCGGUUCGUCUUAAAAACUGGUAGACUUGAGUGUAGUAGAGGCAAGUGGAAUUUCUAGUGUAGCGGUUAAAUGCGUAGAUAUUAGAAGGAACACCAGUGGCGAAGGCGGCUUGCUGGGCUAUUACUGACGCUGAGACACGAAAGCGUGGGGAGCAAAUAGG